rnacentral:rRNA from 1 species
CUCCUUGCCAGCAGCCGCGGUAAUACGGAGGGGGUUAGCGUUGUUCGGAAUUACUGGGCGUAAAGCGCACGUAGGCUGAUUAGUCAGUCAGAGGUGAAAUCCCAGGGCUCAACCCUGGAACUGCCUUUGAUACUGCUAGUCUUGAGUUCGAGAGAGGUAAGUGGAAUUCCGAGUGUAGAGGUGAAAUUCGUAAAUAUUCGGAGGAACACCAGUGGCGAAGGCGGCUUACUGGCUCGAUACUGACGCUUAGGUGCGAAAGUGUGGGGAGCAAACAGGAUUAGAUACCCUGGUAGUCCACACCGUAAACGAUGAAGGCCAGUCGUCGGGUAGCACGCUAUUCGGUGACACACCUAAGGGAUUAAGCUUUUCCCCCGGGG